CCCUACGGGGGGCAGCAGUGGGGGAUAUUGCACAAUGGGGGGAACCCUGAUGCAGCGACGCCGCGUGGGUGAAGAAGCGCCUCGGCGCGUAAAGCCCUGUCAGCAGGGAAGAAAAUGACGGUACCUGAAGAAGAAGCCCCGGCUAACUACGUGCCAGCAGCCGCGGUAAUACGUAGGGGGCAAGCGUUGUUCGGAAUGACUGGGCGUAAAGGGUGCGUAGGCGGUGUAGCAAGUUAGAAGUGAAAUACCUAGAGCUUAACUCAGGUGCUGCUUCUAAAACUGCUAUACUUGAGUGCAGUAGAGGA
rnacentral:rRNA from 1 species